rnacentral:rRNA from 1 species
UCAGUUCGGAUUGUAGGCUGAAACUCGCCUACAUGAAGCUGGAGUUACUAGUAAUCGCAGAUCAGAAUGCUGCGGUGAAUGCGUUCCCGGGUCUUGUACACACCGCCCGUCACACCACGGAAGUUGGGGGCGCCCGAAGCCACUUAGCUAACCCUUUUGGGAAGCGAGUGUCGAAGGUGAAAUCAAUAACUGGGGUGAAGUCGUAACAAGGUAGC